rnacentral:tRNA from 1 species
AGAAUUAAAGCUAGUUAGCGUCUGGCCGUUAACCAGGAGACCGGAGAUUAAAGCUCUUCUAAUUCUA